AAAUGAGCUCGCGUCUGAUUAGCUAGUAGGUGUGGUAAAGGCGCACCUAGGCGACGAUCAGUAGCUGGUCUGAGAGGAUGAUCAGCCACACUGGGACUGAGACACGGCCCAGACUCCUACGGGAGGCAGCAGUGGGGAAUUUUCCGCAAUGGGCGAAAGCCUGACGGAGCAAUACCGCGUGAGGGAGGAAGGCUCUUGGGUUGUAAACCUCUUUUCUCAGGGAAGAAAAAAAUGACGGUACCUGAGGAAUAAGCAUCGGCUAACCCCGUGCCAGCAGCCGCGGUAAUACGGAGGAUGCAAGCGUUAUCCGGAAUGAUUGGGCGUAAAGGGUCCGCAGGUGGCUAUGUAAGUCUGCUGUUAAAGAAUGAGGCUUAACCUCAUCAGAGCAGUGGAAACUACACAGCUAGAGUGCGUUCGGGGUAGAGGGAAUUCCUGGUGUAGCGGUGAAAUGCGUAGAUAUCAGGAAGAACACCAGUGGCGAAAGCGCUCUACUAGGCCGCAACUGACACUGAGGGACGAAAGCUAGGGGAGCGAAUGGGAUUAGAUACCCCAGUAGUCCUAGCCGUAAACGAUGGAAACUAGGUGUAGCCUGUAUCGACCCGGGCUGUGCCGAAGCUAACGCGUUAAGUUUCCCGCCUGGGGAGUACGCACGCAAGUGUGAAACUCAAAGGAAUUGACGGGGGCCCGCACAAGCGGUGGAGUAUGUGGUUUAAUUCGAUGCAACGCGAAGAACCUUACCAGGGCUUGACAUGUCCGGAAUCUUGGUGAAAGCCGA
rnacentral:rRNA from 1 species